GACUGUGGUAAUCAUUUUACAAAGUGUAUGUCAAAACAUUAGUAUACGCAUCUUGAAUAUACAUCUAAUUUUUGUUCAUUAUCCUUCAAUAAAGCUGAAAAAAUCAUUAUAACAACAAAAAAAUUAGCAUGUUUUAUUUAACAGCUAAUAAACUUGGUUUACACCUCUGGAAUAUUGAGGCCUGUGGUGGCUGGUCCUCCCUUUUUAUUCAGAUAUGGGUGUUGGAGGUGACUAUGAGGAAAUUAUACACCUCUUCAGACCUCAGAACAAAUAUCCAUUUACUGUUAAUCAACCUUAAAAAGCAGUAGGAGGGAUCUGAUGUUGAUAUGUAGGCAGAACUGUAGCCAAUUUGAACCCAGAUCUGGGCUGUCCCUAUCCUCACCUGAGGCUUGUCUGAGGCCAUUUACCACUUUUGCUAGAGUCUCUUGGAAUGGCAAGGUCCUGCAAAUGUCCCCAGAAACACCACCCAUUUUCAGGGAGGGAAGUUGAGGCCACCUAAGGAGAGGAAGGUACUUGACCAACCAAGGAUAACAGACAGCCUGUGCCACCACAUGUGCCCGUGCCCCACAGGCUGUCCAUUCAUGACUAGGGCUGCAGCUUUCUGAACAGUCUUCUUCAUCCUUCUGAAUAGAAUUUGGGUGCCUGUCUCAUUAAGCCUUAAUUUUCUUAUUUGUGAAAUAGAGAUAAUUCCACCACCCUCCCAAGGCUAGUGACAGACUGUGACUCGCUCAGUCGUGGAGGACUGUCCUAUAGACCUGGACAUGCAGGCUCUUGCCGACUUGGGCCCAUCAUGACAUAGAAGCCUGCCCACCUACGCACCUGCCAUCCGAGCUCUCCUGGCUGUCUGGGAUUCCAGGCUAUGUCUGAGGACCUGUCUCUCACCUGACUGGAAGCAGUGCCAGGGCUAUUCCUAGGCUUGAUGUCUUCUUACCCUUCAGGACUUUGGUUCCUCCAGAGUCCUUUCUUCCUUUCGUGAUGUCCCCUUCCUUCCCCAAUGGAAAUCCCGCAGGGGAAGACAGACAGAGCCAUUCUCUGUUAACUGAAACCUCAAGGUGUUCCUCAGCCCUGUCACAGCUUCAAAUUGCUCUGGUCUGUGAAAUGGGAAGGACAGCUCCCCUGAUGGCGGUGGACAAGGUUUGGAGGGAAACCUGUGGCUGCUUGCAGGUGAAUUCAGAACCUGGUGUGUUAUGACCCUCAGCACAAUCAGUAGCACAGAUGCCUGGGGAACUGGCAUAUUGGGGGCUCAUUUCCCCAAUCCCAUUACCCACUUCUCCCAUCUCUGUUUAUAAUUAGGAGCACAUAAUAUGCUGUCAACAAAUGGUUGUUGAAUGAAUAAAUUGGCAGUGCCUGGAGUAGAAGGAACAAGCAUUGUGGGCUAGAGUCUGAGAGUCCUGAGUCUUGCUAUCCCACUCUAUAAAGUAGGUGUAGUACCUUUAUUCAAGGAGAUGGUGAGGAACUGGCCUGAGGAUCUCCUCUUCCCUCAUGGCUUAGGUGGGGCAUCACUGACUCCAGUAAACGCUCCUCAUCAGCCCCACUAAGUGCCCUAGUGGCCUAGGAGACCUGGUGGAUGAGCCUUGGGGUAUGUAUGUGCUUGGCUUGGUGUGCUUUCCUCAGAUCGGGUAAUUGUAUAAACAUAAGAUGCUUUUUGAUUUUCUCUUAAAAUAUUCUUGAUUUUAGCUUCUACUUAACAGAAAAGUGAAGUUUGUCAUCAUAAAAAUCUUUCCUAGCGGACAAAGUCCAGACGGUUCGAUUCCAAAAUGAUGACUGAGGGAAACAUGUCAGCCUCAUGGGGAUUUGUCUCGUUUUUAUUAUCUUUUUAAAUUAAAGGUGAUUUACUUGAGCUUGUAGCUCCAGUGAGCUGGAUAUUUGGGGAGAAAAGAAUUUCCAUCAAAAUGUUGUCUUUGUUAGGUGUCCUUUUUCAAGCUUGAUGCUUUGGGUAUUAGAAAUAAAACAGAAAAUCUGGCUUGGCCCUGUAUGAAAUUGAUAUGUUCAUGUUGAUUACUCACAUCCAGAAGGACAGGGAGCUCACUAACUGUCUUACGGAGCUAAACAGCUGUGCCCGUUCCUCAGCGCUGCCUUGUGCUGCCUGCCUCAGGCCAUCAUCACUGAGACGGUCAGGAUGCCUGGCACUGCGCCCAGUACACCCCACAGUGUACCUUUUCCCUUGGGGACCUGAGUGGGGCCCACGGCCACAGGUUUGAUGAUUGUAACCAUAGCAGCUAUGGAGUGUUUUGCUGUUGCCAAGCUCUGUUUGGAGCCCUCCACAUGGAUCAUCUCAGCUAAUCCUCCCAGCCACCCUAAAGGAAGGCAAUAGCCUUCUUCUCCUUCUUCAGAUGAGUAAGAAGGCACAGUGAGUGCAGUCUGAUUCAAGAAUCUUGGCUUUAGCAGGCAAAGGGCUUUGACUACAUCCAAAUACAGAUGUGCUCCCCAGCAGGAAAGCCCAGCAUUCAGACUGGAACUUCACCAUCAGCUUCACUGGGACUCCAGCUUGCCAAGUGUAGGUCUUGGGACCUGCAAGGCUCCAUAAUCACAUGAGCCAAUUCCCCUAUAAUAAAUCCCUUUGUAUCUA